GGAGUUAGCCGGUGCUUCUUCUGUGAGUGAUGUCCUUCCUGCCGGCUAUUAACCCGCAGGCCUUCUUCCUCACUGAAAGUGCUUUACAACCCGAAGGCCUUCUUCACACACGCGGCAUGGCUGGAUCAGGGUUGCCCCCAUUGUCCAAUAUUCCCCACUGCUGCCUCCCGUAGGAGUCUGGGCCGUGUCUCAGUCCCAGUGUGGCUGAUCAUCCUCUCAGACCAGCUACGGAUCGUCGCCUUGGUGAGCCGUUACCUCACCAACCAGCUAAUCCGACAUAGGCUCAUCCGAUAGCGCGAGGCCCGAAGGUCCCCCGCUUUCCCCCGUAGGGCGUAUGCGGUAUUAGCCUGGGUUUCCCCAGGUUAUCCCCCACUACCGGGCAGAUUCCUAUGCAUUACUCACCCGUCCGCCGCUCGCCACCAGGGAGCAAGCUCCCGUGCUGCCGCUCGACUUGCAUGUGUUAGGCCUGCCGCCAGCGUUCAAUCUGAGCCAUAAUCAAACUCUGA
rnacentral:rRNA from 1 species